AACUUGUUCAUUUUUGCAUCAGUUUAUCAUGGUAAGUGUGGACAUUUCCCAAUUCAAACAGUUUUAAACCUUAUUUUUUACAGUUUAUUAUUACAUUAUUGUGUUUACAGAGUGUCGUGGAGAGUGUCCAAUUUGAAGGAAGAUCAGUAACAAUACAAUGCAAAUUUAAAACAGCUUCACCGCAGCCUGAACUUUUCUGGUACAUCCAGAGAGCAAAUGUCUUUCCUAAAUAUAUCCUGAGGAGAAACAAAUAUGGAGCAGAAGAUAAUGAUCUUCAGUUUCAGGAGAGAUUUCGCUCUAAAGUGUCGUCAGAUUCAGUUCCUCUGACAAUCAAGAACCUGUGUGUGUCUGACUCUGCUGUGUAUUACUGUGCUCUGAAGCCCACUGUGACUCAAACACACUCAACACUCACACAAAAACAGAGGAAGUGCUCAGUUAUAUGAAAAGAUGUGAAUCCACAUGAUAUUGACUUCUGUCCCAUGACAAUAACAUGCAUACUGUAUAAUUUAACUGUGUAAAGUGCAUAUCAUCCACUCAUCACUAUGUUUCAGUUUUACAUAUAGUCUAUGUGCUAAAAUUAUCUUUAAUCUGCAUAUUAUUUUUUUUAACCUGAAUGAGCAGAUCUAACAUUUAUUAUACUAAAUAUACUGUUUGGUUUUAAAAUGUGUGUAUAUAAUAUGAGUGUUUUUUUUGUUUUUUUUUGGCAUCAAACUUACAGAGGAUGAAAGAGGAGGAGUUUAACAUCUCAGAUGAUCUUGUUAGUUUUGCUAGACUGUCACAAAGCUCAGUCCUGCUGCAGUGAACACACACAUGUACAAUGAUACUUCAUUCAGUCAUUCUGAUCUCUGCCUUGGCAUGUGUGAGUUUUGGAGAUGAAAUCACACCAGACAGCACUGAAGAGUCUGCUGCAGAGGGUUCAACUCUUACAUUAUCCUGCAGUUAUUCAUCUGCAGAUUCACUUCUCUGGUACCGUCAGUAUCCUGGAUCAGCUCCUCAAUAUCUUGUGCUUAAAAUAGAGAGUGUGAAAGAGUCUGCAACAUCUGAGGUAGAUUUCAGGAUCUCUACUCAGACCAGAAAAGAAAAACAAGCCACAAAAGAGAUCAAACAUGUGGAUCUGAUCAUCUCCUCUGCUGCAGUAUCAGACUCUGCUCUGUAUUACUGUGCUCUGACGCCCACAGUCACAGGAAACACAAGAUCACUGUACAAAAACCUGACACAGCUGAAGGUGUACAAAUAAUUUCCUUCCAUAAAUCCAUCUGAAUUAAAGGUAGAUUAUGAUUCAUGAUUUCACACUAUAUAACUACCCUGACAACAGCAUAAUGUCGGCCCAGAUCCAGACUAUCUGGUCCAUGUGUAAUCCACAUGUUUCAGAUGUGGGCCGGAUCUGGGUAUAUGAGGGUGAAAGCUAUCAGCAGUGGCAUGAUAGAUUGAUUUUUUUUUUUUUAAAUGAACUUAAUUGACACAAUACGUACACGGUGUACUCUUAUGUUCUGAAAAACACUGACUAAAUGUUGUUUUAAAUACAAUUUAAUUUGCUUUUUGUGU